AUUGAACGCUGGCGGCAGGCCUAACACAUGCAAGUCGAGCGGAGCGGCGGACGGGUGAGUAAUUCCUAGGAAUCUGCCUGGUAGUGGGGGAUAACGUCCGGAAACGGGCUCUAAUACCGCAUACUAUCAUAUGAGCCUAGGUCGGAUUAGCUCGUUGGUGGGUUAAAGGCCUACCAAGGCGAAGAUCCGUAACUGGUCUGAGAGGAGGAUCAGGCACACUGGAAGUGAGACAUGGUACAGACUCCGAGGGGAGGCAGCCGUGGAGAAUAUUGGACGAUGGGCGAAAGCCUGGUCCAGCCGUGCCGCGUGUGUGAAGAAGGUCUUCAGAGUGUAAAGCACUUUAAGUUGGGAGGCGUUACGAACAGAAUAAGCACCGGGUAACUUCGUGCCAGCAGCCGCGGUAAUAC
rnacentral:rRNA from 1 species